rnacentral:rRNA from 1 species
CCUACGGGUGGCAGCAGUGGGGAAUAUUGCACAAUGGGCGCAAGCCUGAUGCAGCCAUGCCGCGUGUGUGAAGAAGGCCUUCGGGUUGUAAAGCACUUUCAGCGGGGAGGAAGGCGUUAAGGUUAAUAACCUUGGCGAUUGACGUUACCCGCAGAAGAAGCACCGGCUGACUCCGUGCCAGCAGCCGCGGUAAUACGGAGGGUGCAAGCGUUAAUCGGAAUUACUGGGCGUAAAGCGCACGCAGGCGGUCUGUCAAGUCGGAUGUGAAAUCCCCGGGCUCAACCUGGGAACUGCAUUCGAAACUGGCAGGCUAGAGUCUUGUAGAGGGGGGUAGAAUUCCAGGUGUAGCGGUGAAAUGCGUAGAGAUCUGGAGGAAUACCGGUGGCGAAGGCGGCCCCCUGGACAAAGACUGACGCUCAGGUGCGAAAGCGUGGGGAGCAAACAGGAUUAGAUACCCCUGUAGUC